UUAAGGACCGGGAUAACUGUUAGGAAACGAUGGCUAAUACCGGAUAAGUAAUUGGAAGGCAUCUUCUAAUUAUUAAAGUUUAAAUACACACAAGGAUGAGCUUAUGGUGCAUUAGCUAGUUGGUGGGGUAACGGCCUACCAAGGCUGUGAUGCAUAGCCGACCUGAGGAGGGUGAUCGGCCACACUGGGACUGAGACACGGCCCAGACUCCGUACGGGAGGCAGCAGGUAGGGUAAUUUUCGGCAAUGGGGGCAACCCUGACCGAGCAACGCCGCGUGAGUGAUGAAGGUCGCAAGAUUGUAAAACUCUGUUGUAAAGGAAGAACACUAAGGAUAGAAUCCUUAGUUGACGGUACUUUACCAGAAAGCCACGGCUAACUACGUG
rnacentral:rRNA from 1 species